AGGAAGGAGAAGUCGUAACAAGGUUUCCGUAGGUGAACCUGCGGAAGGAUCAUUGUCGAGACCGAAAAAUAUAUUGAGCGAUUAUGACAACCUGUUAAAUGAGCGAAAGUUCAUCCUGGUCAUUGCCCCAGACUCUCUGCUGGAGGAAGGGGCGUGAUGGAGGAUGGACAAAUCACAAACUGGCGCAGCAUCGCGCCAAGGGAAGAUUUAAUCACGAGCCUCAUGUUAGGCUCGGUAGCGUGGAGUGCUAUUGCACGCCAUGUGCGCAGGCACGACUCUCGACAAUGGAUAUCUCGGCUCUUGCAUCGAUGAAGAGCGCAGCGAAAUGCGAUACGUGGUGCGAAUUGCAGAAUCCCGUGAACCAUCGAGUCUUUGAACGCAAGUUGCGCCCGAGGCCAUUCGGUCAAGGGCACGUUCGCCUGGGCGUCAAGCUUUACGUCGCUCCGUGCUAGUUUUCCAUUCACUUGAUGUAUUGGGCUAUGCUCGGAUGUGUAGAGUGGCUCGUCGCGCCCAUCAGCGUGGCGAGCUGAAGACUGGGUUUCAUCUCAGCGGCCAUGAACUAAUAAGGGGUGGGUGAAAGCUCUGAGCGCAGCCUGCAUUGUCUCGUGCUUGCCUAAGAGAUGGACAAUUCCUUUGCGAUUCUCGACCAUGCGUUGAUCUGCAUACGACGGCUUGGAAAGUGACCCCAGGAUGGGCGAGGACCCCGCUGAGUUUAAGCAUAUCAAUA
rnacentral:rRNA from 1 species